UACAGAGGUCUCAAGCGUUGUUCGGAUUCAUUGGGCGUAAAGGGUGCGUAGGUGGCGAGGUAAGUCUGGUGUGAAAUCUCGGGGCUCAACCCGGAAAUGGCAUUGGAUACUAUUUGACUAGAGGGUUGGAGGGGGGACUGGAAUACUUGGUGUAGCAGUGAAAUGCGUAGAUAUCAAGUGGAACACCAGUGGCGAAGGCGAGUCCCUGGACAACUCCUGACACUGAGGCACGAAAGCUAGGGGAGCAAACAGG
rnacentral:rRNA from 1 species